GCAUAAUCAUUUGCCUCUUAAUUAGAGGCUCGUAUGAAAGGACAAACGAAAUUCUCCCUAUAUCAUUGCUAUCUCUUAAAACUUAACCUUCAGGUGCAGAUGCCUGAUUCUCUUUGAAAGACAAAAAGACCCUAUAGAGUUUUAGUAACUUUCCCCCUUUUAUACACUUUAGUUGGGGCGACUAAGGGUUUCUAAAACCACCCUACUAAACCUACGAACGAUGUUUCAAAUAAAAGACCCAUUUCCCUGAUUUUAAAAAUAAACUACCUUAGGGAUAACAGGCUUAUCUUCCUAAAGAGCCCAAAUCAAAAGGAAGGUCUGGCACCUCGAUGUUGGCUUAGAGUAACCCAUUAAUGCAAAAGUUAAUAUAUGUCAGUUUGUUCAACUGUUAAAUCUCU
rnacentral:rRNA from 1 species